rnacentral:rRNA from 1 species
UACGUAGGGUGCAAGCGUUGUCCGGAAUUAUUGGGCGUAAAGAGCUCGUAGGCGGCUUGUCGCGUCGGCUGUGAAAACCUGGGGCUCAACCUCGAGACGUCGGUUGAAACCGUACGGCUAGAGUCCGGAAGAGGAGAGUGGAAUUCCCGGUGUAGCGGUGAAAUGCGCAGAUAUCGGGAAGAACACCCGUGGCGAAGGCGGCUCUCUGGGACGGUACUGACGCUGAGACGCGAAAGCGUGGGGAGCGAACAGG